GAUGAACGCUAGCUACAGGCUUAACACAUGCAAGUCGAGGGGAAACGACAUCGAAAGCUUGCUUUUGAUGGGCGUCGACCGGCGCACGGGUGAGUAACGCGUAUCCAACCUGCCCACCACUUGGGGAUAACCUUGCGAAAGUAAGACUAAUACCCAAUGAUAUCCCACGAAGACAUCUGAAUGGGAUUAAUGUUUUAUCGGUGAUGGAUGGGGAUGCGUCUGAUUAGCUUGUUGGCGGGGUAACGGCCCACCAAGGCAACGAUCAGUAGGGGUUCUGAGAGGAAGGUCCCCCAGAUGGGAACUGGGACACGGGCCAAACUCCUACGGGAGGCAGCAGUAAGGAAUAUUGGUGAAUGGACGAGAGCCUGAACCAGCCAAGUAGCGUGCAGGAAGACGGCCCUAUGGGUUGUAAACUGCUUUUAUAAGGGAAUAAAGUGGGUCACGUGUGACUUUUUGCAUGUACCUGAUGAAUAAGGACCGGCUAAUUCCGUG
rnacentral:rRNA from 1 species